UCUAAUACCGGAUAUUCCUUUUUUGUCGCAUGGCGAAUUUGGGAAAGAUUUAUCGCUAGAGGAUGGACUCGCGGCCUAUCAGCUUGUUGGUGAGGUAAUGGCUCACCAAGGCGAUGACGGGUAGCCGGCCUGAGAGGGCGACCGGCCACACUGGGACUGAGACACGGCCCAGACUCCUACGGGAGGCAGCAGUGGGGAAUAUUGCACAAUGGGGGAAACCCUGAUGCAGCGACGCCGCGUGGAGGAUGACGGCCUUCGGGUUGUAAACUCCUUUCAGUAGGGAAGAAGCGAAAGUGACGGUACCUACAGAAGAAGCACCGGCUAACUACGUGCCAGCAGCCGCGGUAAUACGUAGGGUGCAAGCGUUAUCCGGAAUUAUUGGGCGUAAAGAGCUCGUAGGCGGUCUGUCGCGUCUGACGUGAAAAUCCAUGGCUUAACUGUGGACCUGCGUUGGGUACGGGUGGACUUGAAUCUUGUAGGGGAAACUGGAAUUCCUGGUGUAGCGGUGGAAUGCGCAGAUAU
rnacentral:rRNA from 1 species